UCCCUCCCGUGCUUGAUUUUGGUUCCCAUGGACCAUGGUGCUAUCUUCCCUCCUGUCUCCCUCCUUUGAUUCUAACCUGGUCUUCUUUGAUGCGUUGUCUUGGUUUAGAUUAUGCAAGAUUAGGUGAUGUUGUCUACCCACAUUUAUAGAAGUGGAUCGCAGAUGCGAUGUAGCAGAGAGAGGGGCCUUGAGAGGUGAGCUGAUGCUGCUACUCCUCUGUGUGAAUUUUGAGUUUGCUAACCACAUGUACCAUGUGGUUGCUGCUACUCCUCUGUUAUUACACAUCUAGGGGAAAUAGCCAGGGAGAGAGAAGACUAUGGGGGAGAAAAGAGAGGAGAGGAGUUAGCCAAGAUUCAGGACAAAAUUCGUCAUCUUUGAGCUGAAGCUUUUGCCUCAAAAGGUCCGUCCCAACAAUCUAGAGCCGCACGCUCAAGGUUCAGGAAUUUGGAAAGCACCAACACACCCUCGCUAGAGCUGCUCUGUUGUGCUUUUUUUUUUCCAUAUACCAAGUUUGUGGUGUACGCUUAUUCCUUGCUUCAUUUACAAGCCGUUUACACCAAUCCAUUUAUAUCUUGCAUAGAAUUAGCAUACUGAUCUAUAUUCUUUUGUUCUGUUUCUUUCAAGGUCCUUUGCAGGUUCCUUUGGCAAAGUGUUGCUGGUUGUCAACAUGAUUAGAGAUACUUUCUGCCACAAAGGUUCAGUUUCUAACGAAGCAGUCCAGCAAGUAAAGUUGUAUUUAUCUUGAUGUAGUCAAAUAAGAUUUUGUGAGUUACUACUCCAGAUAUGCUACAUGUAAUAGACAUGCAUGUACGCAUGUAUUUAACCAUCUAGAAAAGAGGCUGUAUUCCUGUUGAAAGCUAUAUUAAAUCCUAAUUUUUGA